rnacentral:rRNA from 1 species
AGAGGGGCGGCAGCCCAGACCAUGCAGUCGACGGCAGCGGGGGUAGCUUGCUACCUGCCGGCGAGUGGCGAACGGGUGAGUAAUACAUCGGAACGUGCCCUGUAGUGGGGGAUAACUAGUCGAAAGACUAGCUAAUACCGCAUACGACCUGAGGGUGAAAGUGGGGGACCGCAAGGCCUCAUGCUAUAGGAGCGGCCGAUGUCUGAUUAGCUAGUUGGUGGGGUAAAGGCCCACCAAGGCGACGAUCAGUAGCUGGUCUGAGAGGACGAUCAGCCACACUGGGACUGAGACACGGCCCAGACUCCUACGGGAGGCAGCAGUGGGGAAUUUUGGACAAUGGGGGCAACCCUGAUCCAGCAAUGCCGCGUGUGUGAAGAAGGCCUUCGGGUUGUAAAGCACUUUUGUCCGGAAAGAAAUCGCACUGGUUAAUACCUGGUGUGGAUGACGGUACCGGAAGAAUAAGGACCGGCUAACUACGUGCCAGCAGCCGCGGUAAUACGUAGGGUCCAAGCGUUAAUCGGAAUUACUGGGCGUAAAGCGUGCGCAGGCGGUUGUGCAAGACCGAUGUGAAAUCCCCGGGCUUAACCUGGGAAUUGCAUUGGUGACUGCACGGCUAGAGUGUGUCAGAGGGAGGUAGAAUUCCACGUGUAGCAGUGAAAUGCGUAGAGAUGUGGAGGAAUACCGAUGGCGAAGGCAGCCUCCUGGGAUAACACUGACGCUCAUGCACGAAAGCGUGGGGAGCAAACAGGAUUAGAUACCCUGGUAGUCCACGCCCUAAACGAUGUCAACUAGGUUGUUGGGAUUCAUUUCCUUAGUAACGUAGCUAACCGCGUGAAGUGACCGCCUGGGGAGUACGUCGCAAGAUUAAACUUCAAAGAUUGACGGGACCCGCACAAGCGGUGAUGAUGUGAUUAAUUCGAUGCCACGCGGAAAACUACUACCCUUGACAUGCCACUACGAGCAAGAUUGCAUAGGUGCUCUCGAAAGGAAAAUGAACAAGGUGCUGCAUGCCUUGUCGUCCAGCUCGGUCUGGAGAGUAGUUAGUCCCGCACAGGCGCAAAUCAUGUCUAGUGUCCAGAAGCAAUUAGGAUUCGCGGUACCACCAGAAGUGUAGGCUCAUGCUCUAGGCUAGGUAA